rnacentral:rRNA from 1 species
UACAGAGGGUGCGAGCGUUAAUCGGAAUUACUGGGCGUAAAGCGCGCGUAGACGGUUUUGUAAGUCAGAUGUGAAAUCCCUGGGCUCAACCUGGGAACUGCAUUUGAGACUGCAUGGCUAGAGUAUCGAAAGAGGGAAGUGGAAUUUCCGGUGUAGCGGUGAAAUGCGUAGAUAUCGGAAGGAACACCAGUGGCGAAAGCGACUUCCUGGUCGAAUACUGACGUUCAUGUGCGAAAGCGUGGGGGAGCGAACAGG